rnacentral:rRNA from 1 species
UAAGAUUCUUUUUCAGUUUUACUCUGAUCAGGAUGAACGCUGGCGGUGCACCUAAUACAUGCAAGUCGAGCGAAUGGAUUAAGAGCUCGCUCGUAUGAAGUUAACGGCGGACGGGUGAGUAACCCGUGGGUAACCUGCCCAUUAGGAUGGGAUAACUCCGGGAAACCGGGGGUAAUUCCGGAUUACCUUUUGAACCGCAUGGUUUGAAAUUGAAAGGCGGCUUCGGCUGUCACUUAUGGAUGGACCCGCGUCGCCUUAGCUAGUUGGUGAGGUAACGGCUCCCCAAGGCAACGAUGCGUAGCCGGCCUGAGAGGGUGAUCGGCCCCCAUGGGGCUGAGACCCGGCCCAAACUCCUUCGGGAGGCAGCCGUUGGGAAUUUUUCGCCAUGGGCGAAAGUUUGGCGGAGCCACCCCGCGUGAGUGAAGAAGGCUUUUGGGUUGUAAAACUUUGUUGUUAGGGAAGAACCAGUGAUAGUUGAAUAAGCUGGCCCCUUGACGGUACCUAACCAGAAAGCCACGGCUAACUACGUGCCAGCAGCCGCGGUAAUACGUAGGUGGCAAGCGUUAUCCGGAAUUAUUGGGCGUAAAGCGCGCGCAGGUGGUUUCUUAAGUCUGAUGUGAAAGCCCACGGCUCAACCGUGGAGGGUCAUUGGAAACUGGGAGACUUGAGUGCAGAAGAGGAAAGUGGAAUUCCAUGUGUAGCGGUGAAAUGCGUAGAGAUAUGGAGGAACACCAGUGGCGAAGGCGACUUUCUGGUCUGUAACUGACACUGAGGCUCGAAAGCGUGGGGAGCAAACAGGAUUAGAUACCCUGGUAGUCCACGCCGUAAACGAUGAGUGCUAAGUGUUAGAGGGUUUCCGCCCUUUAGUGCUGCAAGUUAACGCAUUAAGCACUCCGCGUGGG